rnacentral:snoRNA from 1 species
AUGUUGACACUUUCGAACGAUAUCCUUAAACCUUUCCCAUGCUUCAAAAAUAGUUUCCGUAUCUUUUUGGGAGAAGUUAUGGAUUUCUCUUCUAAACUU